CAAGGAACAGUAUGCACACUGCCAUAAUAAGACAGGCAAGUGGAAUCAGGCUGUAGCGAGUUAUUACUGUUGCUUGUGAAUUGGAUUUUUAGUUGACAGUCAGGGAUAUCGGAUAUUACUUGAAAUAGUCAAAAUUGAAUAUCGGGAUAUAUUUACUAAAUGUGCUGCAACACUUGAGCAACAAGGAAUAUUAAAGAGCUAAAGAUGAAGCAUUUAUGGAUCUAUGUCGUUUUUACCAUGGUCUUGACUUUUCACAGAACGACUGCCACAGACGUUUGUUUCAGUACCAGCCAAACAUAUAAUUGUAACUGCACAUCGCCUCCCGUGAAACUACCAGGGAGAC